rnacentral:lncRNA from 1 species
GGUUUGAAUAUGUGCAACUUUAUGCGAGUAUCUUUAAUUGUGGAAAGGAUGUUUGUCUUACCAGUGGGUCCAACAUUACACACACCAAAUCCAUCUGUGCUUAUAUGAGAGAGUGUGGAGGACGCCCUCUGCAGCGCUUACAGAGACACUUGUUGAGGAGCUGCCUUCUGUCACCAUCAUGUUGCAUUACUGUCUUCAGACAUCUCUUGAUCUCUUUGACUACUUCAUGAAAAUUGUAAUACGCCUCGCCGGUGGCGGAUUUAAAGGCAAGGAGAGGAGCUGAUUUUAUUGGUCAAUACAGGGAACGGCUGUGUUAAACCUGGUCCACGCCCUCUCUCCUCCCUCGCUACGACUUACGCCGCUGGGAGGAGCUGAGUUAGGGAGGGGGGAUACUUACGCCAGGCUGCGCCGCUCACCAAAAUACCAAAUUGUGCUUGGGAACGCCUUGUCGGUGUGACGGACCUGACUUAUGCAGAAUUUCAAUCAAAGGCUCCAGUCAUAUCUGAUGAACCAAACUCAUACCUGACAGCAACUGUCCGUUCUCCUUCCAUUAUAGGGAUUUGGCCAAACAAAAGUAUGCUUUGGAAUAUGUAUAGCCUACAGUAGCACAUUUCCAUGGUUGCUAGACACCCCUAUGGACACACUCGCACACACUCUUCCUUGAUUUUAUACUUUUGUUGUGGUUUUCCAUGUCUUGUUUGUAUGAGGUGAGAUUUCCUUUAUAAACCCCUCCAGGUUUCUUUAAUCUUGCCUGCACAUCUGUUUUGUUGUAUUUAUGCUGUUUUUCCUGCCUGUAUAAUUGUGCAAAUCAAUUAAUUAAAAAAAUUAAAAAAUUGUUUAGCCUAAUGUGAUCAUGUUUUCUCAGUUCAUGACACAGUAGCAAGCACUCUGCAGCAUCUUCGUAUCUUGAAAUUAACGUGAACAAGACAAAGAAAAUAAUAUUGCAUAAGACUUGCUAAAUAAACAAAGCUUCAAUUUGAAACAACCCAGCUUUUGUUACACGAAAAUCUGAUAUUUAUAACUUAACGGUUUGUUCAUGCCUGUCCUCUCUUCACUCUUUCUUACCUGUGAAAAUGUGUUAAAGGUGAACUUCAACCUUUCCUUUGUCGGUAAAAACAGGGUACACCGUUUGAACAACAAACCUGAGGUGUCAGACAAUAAGCAGGUUAUUAUCAAAUGUACGUGUUUUUCUGUAAUAUCUCUCAACCCAACUGAACAUCUUGUUUCUGGAACUUUGUGAUAUCAGUUCAAUAUAAUGUUCAAGCUACCACUGCUAUAGAUCAUCAGGCUGAUAGUCAUGAUCUAACCCUGUGCUUAAGUACUGGGACAACAAUUUAACAAAUGAAACGCAUCAUAAAAUAUGAGCUGCCACUUACCCAGGUCUCUGUAAUGUGUAACAGUGGAUUUCCGCUCAAGGCUGGUGGAGGAGUUAAAGUUCUGAAUGAGCUUUUUCUUUUUCUAGACCACAGUGGAGAUGUAGUCCACAACAUGUCCUGUCAUAUCUUUGGAAAUUAUGCUCAACACGCUGAUCUCCACCACUGAGAAACAAACAUUUUCACAAUAACUUUGUGGAUAUAAUUCUUUGACACAAAUGCUGAGAAAAAAUACACUGCUUGAUUUCUGGAACAGCAGUGUUUAUCAUUUUAAAACUGUAAUAAACUGUGUGACUGUACUGAUGAAUAAACGUCCAGUUUACUAAAAUAUCAAUUGUAUAGUGAAACCUACAAAAAGUACACAGCCCAAAAUGUCAGGACUUUUAUCAGACCCCAUCCUUACUUAUUUAUUCUUACUUCAGGGUUGACUAUUCCAGCUCGUGACCUACCUGACAGAUUAUCCAGGAUCAUGUCAAACACCUGUGAUGGGAGCCGGUGAAAAAAGGUGCAGGUGCUGCACUGGCUCUGGGGUUCAGUCCGCUGGAGACGUCGGGACUUCAGCGAAGAAACUGGCACGUUCCUCGCCCUCCUCUGCGUUCCACUGAAAAGCCCGCAGCCACUGAGAGGACAAAACUUAUUAUCAAGUUACAGGAACUUUCGGAGCGAACUAUAGGCUAAACUUGCCAAAAUAACUUUGAAUUGAACUCCUUAUUGGUUCAAACCUGACGUUAUCCGCCUUUAUGUUCAAAUAUACAUUCACUCCCAUUUAGAAAUGAAGAAUAUGGGCAAACCUGAAAACCCCUGUAUUUCUCCUGGAAAAGUUUCAGUGCAGAAAUGACUGUCAGCUCUUUCUGUUAGCUAGCUUUCUUUAAGGCUCCUGUCAUACGAUGGCGCGAAAUCAACAGAUAACCAAACUCACCGCAGUCCCCUUUGUAUCGCGUUUUUAAAGCGUUUUUGCACGUUUUGUAAAAGACAGUGUCAGAGAAACUGAUCAGGGUCAGACUGAUAUUUAUAAAGCGUGAUUGCUCAGGAAAAAAUCAAUAUGGAGAGUUACAGAUGUAGGCCUAAGCGGUACCUUUUAAAGUCUAAGUGGUUUAGAUUACACCAGGCCCCAUUGAAAGUCCAACUGGUCCACAGUAUUGUGACUGUGUGAAUGCUACAGUUAGGGAAAGUACGGAUAAAUGGGAUUAUUUAUUAGUACUGUAAACAUGUCUGGCAGUUAAGAUUCCAGGCUAAAACAUCCCUUUGCUCAGCCCUCACUUCAGUUAUUGGAAGACAACUACCUAUGGGGCAUGAUAAAUAAGAUAGAGAGACUGAUAGAGGGAGAUGAAGAAAGAGAGAGAUGGACAGACGAGAGACUGAUGCCUGUUUUGAAGCAGCUGUAAAGCAGACAGGUCCACAGCAGUAACACAUCUGCAGCAGCGAUCCAGAUGAACUAAAAGCAUGAUGGAGCCCAGGGACUCCUAGUAAAGACUGUGUAUCAGUGACUCUAAUGGUACAUGAGAAUUCAGAGUUAAUGACACAGACACAAAGAGGAUGAAAAAGGAGGGAAAGGUGCUCUACCCUGGCAGCCCAAAUCUGAUAUCUGUAGCGGUAUAACUACCUGAAGACCUGAAGCAGCUCCAACUAUCAGCUUUAUGAAAGAGGAACGUUUUAAGCCUACUUUUAAAGGUAGAGAGGGUGUCUGUCCCCCAUAUACUUAUAUCUUUACUGUAAUAUUAAUUGGACCAAAUAGUUUUCCCAGUGUUAAAUUAAGGCUACACAGGACUCUUGUGUGAAGGAGGAGGGGAUGGGCAAUGGUUGGUUCAGAGUGUAACCUAUGCAGUGUCACUAAGUGGUUCACAUGUUUGGGUUUUGGUCUUUAGUAUCACAUAGUUCCCGGUUUGAACCUGUGGGACUGUACAGGACCAUAAAAAUUAAGCUGCUAAGAGUGUGUAUUUUGGGAAAAGUUCUUUUAAACACCAUUUACAUUUUUCCUGAAAAAUGUAAAUGGUGUUUAAAAGAAGACUUCUGAAAGACAUCUAAUGACAAACAUGUACAACAUACUGAAUCAUGAUUACAGCACAGUACUCAACAAGCCUGCACUCAGCCGUUAAUCACAGGAUUAUUCUGCUUAAGUAAGGCUAUUAGGGGUUACACAUUCAAGUAGCGUCUCCCACAGGCAGACCUUGGAGAGGAUCAGCUCCUCACCAUAGAGCUCAUACACAGAGAACACAUAAGGGACUCAGAGGAAGGGCCGUGCCCACCAGCAGAAUAUCAUGGUAGGUCACAUUUGGGACACAAGGAGAGGGGGACUGCAAGGGAAGAAGACUUGCCUCAAAGGAACCUUCAGACCAUCAGGUCUACAGCAAAGUAAGUACCACACCAACAGUACCAGGCUCAAAAAGAAUCCCUUUCCUACCAAGUCAUAACUCUGCUGAUGAAUUUUCAAUGCUGCCUACAAACAUCUGUUUUGUCAACAAGUUGCUCAAAGUUAAGAAUAGUUUUAAGGUCUAUCAUCUGUUAUUGAUCAACAGAUGCUGAGACAGAAAGAGCUGAGUUAUUGACAUGAAUAGAGCACAGCCAGUGAGAACAGCAUCUCUUCUGCCAGUCUCCGUUUUUUUUCCUGCAUUUCUCUGCCUCGGGGUCCAUGUUUGGAUCUGAUUAUCCCUCUGAAAAAAACAGCCAGCGACGGGACUUUCUCUCAUGUUAUCCCUGACAUGAUGACAGGGGUAGUGACAGUGCUGAAGAUGAUCCCUUACACUAACCAAUAAAAAGUCUCACUGUCCUGCAGCAUGUCGCUUGUCUGUGAAGGCAGCAGCAGUAGAAACCAGAGGAGUUGGUCAUCUUGCAGCAAAAACUACAGCCAGACGUUCUUCAUCUAACACCUGUGAUCUGACCGAUGACCAUGACCAAGCAGUCCUUAUGUAACCAUUUCAGUGAGUAUUUUAUGGAACAAGCUACCCCUCCAAAUUAGAGAAGCCCCCACACUGUCCAUUUUUAAAACUCGUCUUAAAACCCAUUUUUAUUCAUUGGCUUUUAACCCUGCAUGAGACUGGGCUCCUGUUUUAGUGUUUUAUGGUUUGUUUUUAGUUAUUUGUUUCUAUGUUUUUAAAUUAGUUUUUAAAAACAUUGAAGCUAUAUUUUAUUA